rnacentral:rRNA from 1 species
GAGUUUGAUCAUGGCUCAGAGUGAACGCUGGCGGCAGGCCUAACACAUGCAAGUCGAACGGCAGCACAGAGGAGCUUGCUCCUUGGGUGGCGAGUGGCGGACGGGUGAGGAAUGCAUCGGAAUCUGCCUAUUUGUGGGGGAUAACGUAGGGAAACUUACGCUAAUACCGCAUACGUCCUACGGGAGAAAGUGGGGGACCUUCGGGCCUCACGCAGAUAGAUGAGCCGAUGCCGGAUUAGCUAGUUGGCGGGGUAAAGGCCCACCAAGGCGACGAUCCGUAGCUGGUCUGAGAGGAUGAUCAGCCACACUGGAACUGAGACACGGUCCAGACUCCUACGGGAGGCAGCAGUGGGGAAUAUUGGACAAUGGGCGCAAGCCUGAUCCAGCCAUGCCGCGUGUGUGAAGAAGGCCUUCGGUUG